UCGUAAGGUUUUUGCACACUAUUUCAGUUAAUUUUCCCACAUUUACACAGAAUUUACAUGCUGUUCUGAACCCGUCACUGGCUUCAUCUGGAGUCAUUCUGUACCUCUGUGUGACAUUUUAUGUAAUAAUGUCUUUUGGUAAAAAUACAUGGCAUUAAAUUAAUGGAUGUCCUUUGUAAGUAUUUUUUGUCCUUAAGAAAUUACUUCAAUCGCUGAAGAAGUGGAAAAAGAGCACUUUCUAUACUUGUUAUCACUCAUUUUAGAAGUGAAGUAGUUACUGCCCAUUUGUGCACUCUGUCACAAUUUUGGAACUUCUGAAGGACUAAAUUCUAGGCUAAGUGCAGCAAACCUGUACAGCCCCCUUCUCAAACUGGAAUCAUAUGACUCAAACACUAACAUACAGAAAUGCUGAGAAGUUUCAACUGGUUCAUCUUCUUCCUUGCUGAUACUUUCCAUUACAGGUGUCACACCUACCAGUGUAGUGAAACUUCAGUGCCUGAUUUUUGACUGACAGCACUGUUUGUGAACAAGUUAAGCUUGUCAGCCUAUCUUCAUAAGGCUGAAAAGCGCUCUAAUGCAAAAAGUCUGCCUCCCACUCAGAACUGAACUGGCAGUUUUCUACAUGAACUCUGCUUUCCUUUGUUAAUUGCCUGUGAUUCACACCCACAUUUUCCAGAGAGUGAUGGCAUUUUAAUUGCUAGCGGUAUUUUAGGAUGGAGGAGAGGCAAUGGGAAGAGGCUUGGGAAAAAAGUGGGUAGGGGUUUGGCAUGUUCGUAAGGCUAACUGUUCUGUGAUUGCACACAGCCAGACCAGCAGCCAGAGCACCAUCUGUGCACACAGCUGAUCCAUCCCGCCCGGCUUCGGCACAAAGGAAUGUGUCAGCUCCCGCUUUUCCAGAGCAACUGAAAGCCUCCUUCAUGCUCCACUGAAAUUUUGCUACCAUUCCCUGAAGACCUAUUCCCUUCACCCUGCACGUCUGGCUGACACAGCCUUCCUUCAGCAAGAAGCUCUUUCUGCAGUGCUGUUUUUGCAGGUUGGAGUGGGGAAGAUUCAACUGCUCUUCAGCAUCACCUCCCUGUCAUGCAAGCUGCAGAAUGAUCAUCUCAGGGUCCUGGGGAAUGGUUCAAAACCCACAGAACCUCUGAAUAAAAUCCAGGUAAAACCACUGGGCCUCACCUGCUUCCAUGUCAAAAACAAAGAAACAAAUGCAAGUGCAUGACAAUUUCAAAGUGCAAUCACAAAUCAGUUCCCUGAUAAUCAGUUUCCAUUGAAAGAUCGGCCAAGAGUUGAGAAUCUUUUCAGAUACAAUCUACAUGUGGAGUCUAAAAUGAAAUCCAAAACCUUGGAGGUUUUUUUUCCAAGGUUUGGACUGACAGCACGUACACUGCUUUGGUGGCUGCUUGGACCUGACAGAUUCCUGAACAAAAGGAACUGCUCCCACUGCUCUCUCUGAAGGUGGGGAAAGUGCUAUAUUUCUGCUUUUGCUUUUUUAUUUUUCAUUUUAGUGAGCACACACAGUAAAACAGGGAUCCAAAUGCUGAUUAAAAUUUUUCCUAAAUUGUGAAGCUUUGGAUCUGUGUUUGUCCUACCAAAUGCUCUGAUACAUCAG
rnacentral:lncRNA from 13 species